ensembl:lncRNA
AACGAGCUGAGUCUAGACAGCCGACUUUACUUUACCUGCGCUACCUGUUGUAGUGUCUGGAAGCAACAACUAUGAGAGAUAUAAACCAAAAACCGAAUACAUCCGCUGACUGGCUGAACCCUAUAGCAUAAGCCUUCAUGGGGACCCGAUCUGGGCAGUGUCAAACUGCUCUGGCCAGGUGGACCUGUCCUUACACAGAUACAGAACCCGCAUACAGAUCUGGCACAAAGUCAAACAGGCACAUAUAAGGCAAGGAGUCUUUUAAAGGUCAGCUCCAUUGCAUCUCUUAGAGAGGGCAUGGUGUACCCUUAGCCAAAAUGCCUGGCAAGAAAGACCCC